GACGAACCGUGCGAACGUUGUUCGGAAUCACUGGGCUUAAAGGGCGCGUAGGCGGCUUGCCAAGUCAGAGGUGAAAUCUUUCGGCUUAACCGGAAAAGUGCCUUUGAUACUGGCGGGCUAGAGGGAGGUAGGGGUAUGUGGAACUUCCGGUGGAGCGGUGAAAUGCGUUGAUAUCGGAAGGAACGCCGGUGGCGAAAGCGACGUACUGGACCUCUUCUGACGCUGAUGCGCGAAAGCUAGGGGAGCAAACGGG
rnacentral:rRNA from 1 species